rnacentral:rRNA from 1 species
AUUCUGGGCGUAAGCGUACGUAGGCGGCGUGUUAAGCAAGAUGUGAAAGCCCCGGGCUCAACCUGGGAAUUGCAUUUUGAACUGGCAUGCUAGAGUCCUGAAGAGGGUGGUAGAAUUUCCAGUGUAGCGGUGAAAUGCGUAGAUAUUGGAAGGAAUACCGGUGGCGAAGGCGGCCACCUGGUCAGAGACUGACGCUGAGGUACGAAAGCGUGGGGAGCAAACAGGAUUAGAUACCCUGGUAGUCCACGCCGUAAACGAUGUCAACUAGUUGUUCGUGUCAUUAAGACGUGAGUAACGCAGCUAACGCACUAAGUUGACCGCCUGGGGAGUACGGCCGCAAGGUUAAAACUCAAAUGAAUUGACGGGGGCCCGCACAAGCGGUGGAGCAUGUGGUUUAAUUCGAUGCAACGCGAAGAACCUUACCAUCCCUUGACAUCCAGUGAAUUUU